GUCCCUUUCGUCUAGUGGUCGAGGACAUUGCUUUUUCAAGGCAAAAACACGGGUUCGAACCCCGUAAGGGAUACCA
rnacentral:tRNA from 1 species